UACAGAGGGUCUCGAGCGUUAGGCGGAAUCACUGGGCUUAAAGCGUGUGUAGGUGGAUCGUUAAGUACCUUGUGAAAUCCCACGGCUUAACCGUGGAACUGCUUGGUAUACUGGCGGUCGUUGAGUCAGCUAGGGGCUAACCGGAACAAAUGGUGGAGCGGUGAAAUGCGUAGAUAUCAUUUGGAACGCCAAUGGUGAAAACAGGUAGCUGGGGCUGAUACUGACACUGAGACACGAAAGCCAGGGAGCAAACGGG
rnacentral:rRNA from 1 species